rnacentral:rRNA from 1 species
UCCAUGUGUAGCGGUGAAAUGCGUAGAUAUAUGGAAGAACACCAGUGGCGAAGGCGGCUGUCUGGUCUGUAACUGACGCUGAGGCUCGAAAGUAUGGGUAGCAAACAGGAUUAGAUACCCUGGUAGUCCAUACCGUAAACGAUGAAUGCUAAGUGUUGGAGGGUUUCCCCCUUCAGUGCUGCAGCUAACGCAUUAAGCAUUCCGCCUGGGGAGUACGGCCGCAAGGCUGAAACUCAAAGGAAUUGACGGGGGCCCGCACAAGCGGUGGAGCAUGUGGUUUAAUUCGAAGCUACGCGAAGAACCUUACCAGGUCUUGACAUACUAUGCAAAUCUAAGAGAUUAGACGUUCCCUUCGGGGACAUGGAUACAGGUGGUGCAUGGUUGUCGUCAGCUCGUGUCGUGAGAUGUUGGGUUAAGUCCCGCAACGAGCGCAACCCUUAUUAUCAGUUGCCAGCAUUAAGUUGGGCACUCUGGUGAGACUGCCGGUGACAAACCGGAGGAAGGUGGGGAUGACGUCAAAUCAUCAUGUCCCUUAUGACCUGGGCUACACACGUGCUACAAUGGAUGGUACAACGAGUUGCGAACUCGCGAGAGUAAGCUAAUCUCUUAAAGCCAUUCUCAGUUCGGAUUGUAGGCUGCAACUCGCCUACAUGAAGUCGGAACCGCUAGUAAUCGCGGAUCAGCAUGCCGCGGUGAAUACGUUCCCGGGCCUUGUACACACCGCCCGUCACACCAUGAGAGUUUGUAACACCCAAAGUCGGUGGGGUAACCUUUAGGAACCAGCCGCCUAAGGUGGGACAGAUGAUUAGGGUGAAGUCGUAACAAGGUAACCA